rnacentral:tRNA from 1 species
ACCUGGCUGGCUGAGUCAGGAGAGCAUGAGACUCUUGAUCUUGGGGUUGUGGGUUCAAGCCCUGUGUUGGGUG